rnacentral:rRNA from 1 species
UGGGGAAUAUUGGACAAUGGGCGAAAGCCUGAUCCAGCCAUGCCGCGUGUGUGAAGAAGGUCUUCGGAUUGUAAAGCACUUUAAGUUGGGAGGAAGGGCAGUAAGCGAAUACCUUGCUGUUUUGACGUUACCGACAGAAUAAGCACCGGCUAACUCUGUGCCAGCAGCCGCGGUAAUACAGAGGGUGCAAGCGUUAAUCGGUAUUACUGGGCGUAAAGCGCGCGUAGGUGGUUCGUUAAGUUGAAUGUGAAAGCCCCGGGCUCAACCUGGGAACUGCAUCCAAAACUGGCGAGCUAGAGUAGGGCAGAGGGUGGUGGAAUUUCCUGUGUAGCGGUGAAAUGCGUAGGUAUAGGAAGGAACACCAGUGGCGAAGGCGACCACCUGGGCUCAUACUGACACUGAGGUGCGAAAGCGUGGGGAGCAAACAGG